AUUGACCCAUCUUCCCUUAAUAAAUUCAGAGCAACCUUAACCCCUCCACCAUAAAAACCUUUGUGUGUUUUGGAGAGAAAAAUAUUAAAGAUGGCACCUUCUUUCUUCAUCCAUGGCUUCUCUUGUCUUGAGGAUUCCCACUUGUAUUUUCCUCUUGGUUUCACUUAUCAUCUUGACCACCAACACUGCCACCUUAGAAGUUGAUCUCGUCGAAGUUAAAGUCCACUUCAAAGACGUUUACAAGCUUUAUAAGUUAUUUCAUUGGGUACAUGGUUGCAAAAAUUGUGACUGGAUUUGCAUAUACAAUCCUGCAAAUGGCUUUCACCUUCAACCAAAUUGCCACAGGAAAUAGGGCAUCAGAGUGAAGAUGGAAGCCUUGUUUUUUACUUUUAUGGUGACAAGGUACAUGGUUGCAACAAUUGUGAUUGGAUUUGCAUAUACAAUCUUGCAAACGGCUUUCACAUGCAUCAUACCAAUUUGCCACAAAUAGAGUGAUGAGUGAAGAUGGAAGCCUUGUUUUUAACUUUCAUGGUGACAAGGACUCAAACACUGGGCCCAAGGCGGAUUGAGACAUUGGGACAUGUCCACAUCAAUUCCUUAUCCAUUGGAAAGGGAGUGUGGCUCCAGGGCUUACAGUCAUUGACCCAUCUUCCCUUAAUAAAUUCAGAGCAACCUUAACCCCUCCACCAUAAAAGCCUUUGUGUGUUUUGGAGAGAAAAAUAUUAAAGAUGGCACCUUCCUUCUUCAUCCAUGGCUUCUCUUGUCUUGAGGAUUCCCACUUGUAUUUUCCUCUUGGUUUCACUUAUCAUCUUGACCACCAACACUGCCACCUUAGAAGUUGAUCUCGUCGAAGUUAAAGUCCACUUCAAAGACGUUUACAAGCUUUUAUAAGUUAUUUC